UAUCUGACUUGAACAAUUAAUUGCUAAGGUGUGUUGGUUGAGAUAGCUGGGAAAAGAAGCUUCCACGGCCAUUAUUUAUUUAUAAGCUCCUCAGCUGGAUCCAUAUAUUUUUGCUCAAAACUUUACUGCCAUACUUAGCUUAACGCCAGGCUAGGCCAGCAUGAGUUAUCAGCAAGUUCCAUAUGAGGCACCUGGACCUGGCUAUGAAGAACCGCCGCCGACUCACGUCCACCAUCACCACCACCACCAAUAUCCACAAGCAGAAGAAGGGCCUCCGCCGCCGGGGUAUUAUGAACCUUCGCCGCCACCGCCUCCUCUCGUAGAGGCCCCCGAGGACGACGAGCACCACGGUUUCUGUUCGUGUUUGAAACGCUGUUUGAGUUGUCUUCUUUGCUGCUGGUGCUGCUAGGCAACGCCGCCGCAUAUAUAUAUGCAUCAACCAAUUCAAUAUAUAUUGUGAUUGUAUUUGUCGUGUAUGUACUUUAAUUCGGAACAGCUCGUGUGGAAUCGCAUCAAUCCUCCUAAUAAAUUAUUGUAUCAUCACUUUAAUUUGCUUGUACUGCUGCUAAAGUUAUAUUGUACUGUGUUACAUUCUUCUAAUUACUUUUACUGAAAUAAUUAUAAUUUGUUUUAUAUA